rnacentral:sRNA from 1 species
AAAAAAAAAAAAGGAGAAUAACAUGCGAAAUCGGAAUCUUAGAUCAGUCGAAAUCGAAAUCGAAAUUGGUGACUGGAACAAAGGCGAUAGCGAGUUUGAAUGAGACAUAGGCAUCAACGGUGGCGUGGAGUAUCUGCUUUCGCCCAAGCUUUGGAGAGCCCCAGUUGCUCUUGGUGGUGAUGUUAGCCGGAGAAAUGUGCCUCUUUUGAUGUCUUUGUUAAUAAGAGCGGUUCCAAAUAUCUCUCAUGAAUUUCCUCCCGUCCACAAACUUUCCGAUCUUCAAAACAUCACUACGAGCAAAGAACUUGGUGGAAUCUCUGUCGUUCCAUAUUCCGGGGGAUGUAGUCAAGUCUGAGCCAAGGAACCGAGUUGGCCUCCUAGAAAUACGGGAACAAUACCUAAGCUUGACGAUAGGCCAUUACAUCUAUGCGCAUCGUUCAAUUCAACUGAGAACAAUCCCACUGAAAUUAUCAUAAUUUUGGGCGUUGAUUUUUGUAAUUUUUUGCACAUUUAUGUCUUGUAAAAAGGUAAAACUAUUUCUUGAAUGAUCU